UCCCUGACGAUCCAGUGGUUAAGACUCAGCACUUUCACUGCUGUGGGCCACGGUUCAAUCCCUGGUCAGGGAA
rnacentral:tRNA from 1 species